AAUAGAUACCCUGGUAGUCCUAGCCGUAAACGAUGAGCACUGGGUUGAAGGGUCCUCCAUAGCCUUUCAGCCGCAGCGAAAGUGUUAAGUGCUCCGCCUGGGGAGUAUGGUCGACAAGGCUGAAACUCGAAAGAAAUUGACGGGGGCUCACACAAGCGGUGGAGGAUGUGGCUUAAUUCGAGGCUACGCGAAGAACCUUAUCCUAGUCUUGACAUGCACGGAUUAACUCCCUGAAAGGGGAGCCAGGCCUUCGGGUACAACGUGCACAGGUGCUGCAUGGCUGUCGUCAGCUCGUGCUGUGAAGUGUCGGGUUAAGUCCCUUAACGAGCGAACCCUUGUCGCUAGUUGCCAGCGAGUCAUGUCGGGGACUCUAGCGAGACCGCCGGCGUUAAGCCGGAGGAAGGCGGGGAUGACGUCAAGUCCUCAUGGCCUUUAUGACUAGGGCUGCACACGUCCUACAAUGGCGCGCACAAAGGGGAUGCAAAAUCGCGAGAUCAAGCAAAUCCCAAAAAACGCGCCCCAGUUCGG
rnacentral:rRNA from 1 species